rnacentral:rRNA from 1 species
UACGGAGGGAGCUAGCGUUGUUCGGAUAUACUGGGCGUAAAGCGCACGUAGGCGGCGCCGUAAGUCAGGGGUGAAAUCCCGGAGCUCAACUCCGGAACUGCCCUUGAAACUGCAGUGCUAGAAUCCUGGAGAGGCGACUGGAAUUCCUGGUGUAGCGGUGAAAUGCGCAGAUAUCAGGAGGAACACCGGUGGCGAAGGCGGGUCUCUGGGCCGAAACUGACGCUGAGGAGCGAAAGCGUGGGGAGCAAACAGG